rnacentral:rRNA from 1 species
GACAGAGGGUGCAAACGUUUGUUCGGAAUUACUGGGCGUAAAGCGCGUGUAGGCGGCUAAGUAAGUCGGGCGUGAAAUCCCACGGCUCAACCGUGGAAGUGCACUCGAAACUGCAUAGCUAGAGUCCUGGAGAGGAAGGUGGAAUGCUUGGUGUAGAGGUGAAAUUCGUAGAUAUCAAGCGGAACACCGGUGGCGAAGGCGGCCUUC